rnacentral:rRNA from 2 species
GGAAAGAUGAAAAGAACUUUGAAAAGAGAGUUAAACAGUACGUGAAAUUGUUGAAAGGGAAACGAUUGAAGUCAGUCAUACCAACGGGAAAUCAACCUUUUGAACUUUGUCUCGUGGGUUCGAAGAGUUUAAACGCCUUCGGGUUCGCGAGAUUGGGAUCUUUUGGUGUACUUUCUCGUACGGUUAGUCAACAUCGGUUUUGAAUGUCAUAAAAUGACUGGAGGAAUGUAGCUUCGAUCUCGUAUCGAAGUGUUAUAGCCUUUGGUAGAUGUGAUGUUCGAGACCGAGGAUUGCAACGGAUACCCUUCAUGGGCUAUUCGUCUGAUCUCUGAUACGUUGCCUUGACGUUGAAAGCUUGCUUACGAUGUUAGGGUAUUACGGUCAAAAGGUUAGAACGGAUUAAAUUCGUUAAGGAUGUUGACGUAAUGACUUUAAACGACCCGUCUUGAAACACGGACCA